CCAGCAUCUGACUCACGGCACCGGCUCUAAGAGCCGCUCAAAGUCCUCCUGAACAUCAUUUACAUGUGGACGCACAUGAUGAAUAAUUAACAUCACUAGUCCCACUGUCUGCUGCUUUUUCAUUGUAGCCUCUUCUAGGAUUUACUCUUCUAGGAUCAGCUGCUUUCUUUUGCUUGAGAGGUGUUUGACAGGCUGGGAGUGGCUGCCUGCUGCUCUGUGUGAGAGGAGGAGAGAGAGCCCUGUAGUGCAGCAGGAGAAGAGAGGAGAGGAAAGGAAAGAAGAGGAGAGGAGAGGUGAGUGAGGCUGCCCUGAGAUGCUCUGCUGGCUGGAGGAGGAAGAGAUGUCUGUGCAGGAGUUCCAGGAGCGCGUGGGCUGCGUUAUCACCCAUGUUGAUGAGAUUAUGCAACAGGAGAUAAGGCCUCUGCUGGCCGUGGACAUCAUUGAACAGCUUCACAGGCAGUUUGCAAUGCUGUCAGGUGGACGAGGGAAGGAUGGUGCCCCGAUCAUUACUUUCCCAGAAUUUUCUGGCUUUAAUGAUCUUUCUGAUGAAGACUUCAUUAAUGUAGUCACAUAUCUGACCAGUAUACCCAGUCUGGAUGCAGCCAGCAUCGGUUUCAUCAUUAUCAUAGACCGCCGGCGGGACAAAUGGACUUCGGUGAAGGCCUCGCUGGCUCGAAUAGCAGGGGCAUUUCCAGGAAACCUGCAGCUAGUCCUAGUUCUGAGACCCUCACGAUUCAUACAAAGGACCAUUGCUGACAUUGGCAUCCGGUUACACCGUGAUGACUUUAAAAUGAAGGUACCGAUCGUCAUGCUGAAUUCCUUGGCAGAUCUGCACGGCUAUGUGGAUAAAGGCCAGCUGACGUGUGAAUUAGGUGGAAGCCUGCAGUACUGUCACAGUCAGUGGAUUCACCACCGCACAGCCAUCGAAAACUUUGCUGUGACCGUAAAGACCACAGCCCAAAUGCUUCAGAAAUUUGGAACAGACUUGGCAGAAACCGAACUACCCAAUGACGUGCAAUGCACCAAAGAUCUCCUGACAGCUCACGCAGACAAACACGACAAGCUUCAGGAUGAACUGAAGUUGGCUAUGAAACAAGGGACCACAUUACUUUCGUGUAUCAAAGAUCAGGCCAGUAAAGCUGAGAACUACAAACUAAAUCCAGACGAAAUGGAAAAUCUAACCACAGUUGAAAGGUUGUUAGCUCAGCUGGAUGAGACGGAAAAUGCGUUUGAACAGUUCUGGUCUAAACAUCACUUGAAGUUAGAGCAGUGUUUGCAGUUACGACAUUUUGAGCAGGACUUUAGAGAGGUGAAACUGUCCCUGGACAGCCUGAUGGAGACUUUGCUGGCACUUUCAGACACUGGAGAUGGGGCCGGUCGCAUUGAGCAGCUGCUAGAAGACCUGAAGAGCCUGCAGGACAGAGCUCAGGAAUCUUUGGAGAAGGCGCAGCUGCAUGCACUGCACGGCGACCAGUUAAUCCAGAGCAACCACUACGCAGUGGACUCCAUCCGGCCCAAGUGUGUGGAGUUGCGGCGAAUUUGUGACGACUUCAGCAAUGAAGCCAAAAAAAAAUAUGACGUUCUGUCCAAAUCACUUGAGAUCCAUACAUGGAUAGAGAAGGUGAGCCACUGGUGCGAGAAUGGCGUGUACCUGCUGGCCUCACAGGCUGUAGAUAAGUGCCAGUCUCAGGAGGGGGCAGAAGCGGCUCUGCAGGACAUUGAGAGGUACAUGGAGACGGCUAAGGAGCAGCAUCUCAGUCAGCUCAAAGACCUCUACAACCAACAUGAGAUGGCACUCUCUGAUCUCAUGAAGAUUAAAGUGCAGACUGCACUGAAAAGGCUGGAAGAAGUGAACGAGAUGUUUGAGAAGAGACACGUCAGUCUAAAGAAGCUGUCUGCCAAGCAAACCAGGCCUGUGCAGCCUGUGGCUCCACGUCCUGAGUCUUCUCCCAAGCGUCCUUCACCUAAAAGCUCACGACCAACAGGCUCUGCACCAAACCGCAGAGGUCCAGAGAAUAGUUCCACCAAGCAUAACACUGAUACUGAGCUAGCAAGGAAGAAAAACAUUCGCAAGACUAAAGGAGGCAUCAAGAUUGAAGUUAUGCAUGAGGAGAGUCAAGGAGGUUCGAGCCAUGUUCUCGUGAGCAGCGAGACGGAGGAGAGCCUGUCCAGCAGGCGGCGACACAUUAUGAAUGAGCUGAUUGAGACGGAGAGACUCUAUGUGGAGGAGCUCCAAAGUAUAAUUGAGGGUUACGCUACAGCACUGGAUAAUUCAGAAAUGAUGCAUCUAAUACCGCCUGUGUUGGAAAACAAGAAAGAUGUGCUCUUUGGCAAUCUUGCUGACAUCUACACCUUUCAUAAUAGGACAUUUCUCAAAGAGCUGGAAAAUUGCAUGGAGAAGCCAGAGUUAGUGGGAACAUGCUUCUUGAAAAGAAAAGAAGAGCUGCAGAUCUAUGAGAAAUACUGUCAAAAUAAACCUCGGUCUGAGGCUCUCUGGAGGCAGUGUGGGGACAGCCUGUUCUUUCAGGAAUGCCAAAAACGGUUGGACCACAAGCUCUCUUUAGACGCAUACCUGCUAAAGCCUGUGCAGAGAAUCACCAAGUACCAGUUACUGUUGAAGGAGAUGCUGAAAUGCAGCAAGAACUCAGAGGGCACAGCGGAACUAGAGGAAGCUCUGGCCACCAUGUUGGACAUCAUAAAAUCUGUCAAUGAUUCAAUGCAUCAGAUUGCCAUUACUGGCUUUGAGGGUAAUUUGAAUGACCUGGGUAAGCUGCUCAUGCAAGGCUCUUUCAACGUGUGGACAGACCAUAAGAAAGGUCACAAUAAAGUAAAGGACUUGGCACGCUUCAAGCCCAUGCAGAGGCACCUCUUCUUGUACAAUAAGAUGAUUUUGUUCUGCAAGAAGCGUGAGGAGAACUCAGAUGGUCAUGAGAAAUCCCCAUCCUACAGUUUCAAGCACUCUCUGAAGAUGAGUGCUGUUGGAAUCACAGAGAAUGUGAAAGGAGACGCCAAGAAAUUCGAAAUCUGGUACAAUGGGAGAGAGGAAGUCUACAUCAUUCAGGCCUCCUCCAUGGACGUGAAGAACACGUGGGUGUCCGAGAUCAGGAAAGUACUGACGGGCCAACUGGAGGCGUGCAAAGAGGCAAGUCAGCUUCAUCAAAGAAUCACCGAAAACAUUUACCAUGCUCCCAUGAGGAAUGUUCGCAAAGUGGCCCUGAGGCAGUCAGACUCCUCCAGCCCAGAGACAGGCUACAAGCGCAGUGACAGUGGCCCCAACAUGAGGCAGAAACGAGCUGGUGCUAUGUCCAACCUUAGUUCAGACCCAUCCUCAGCUUUGGCUAGAAAGCGCUUCACCUUACAUGGCCUGUCCAAUCGCAGGUCCCUGCCAUCAGAGCCGACGCCUAAGGAGGCCGAAGUCACUCGCCGCUUCUCUUUAGCCUCCUCCCUCAGUGCUUCCUCUACCACACGCACAAAAGGUCCUCUUUCUGCGACCAUUAAAAGCAAGAGACACCAAAUUAAGAGUGACCCCACUCCGUUUGGUUAUCAAGAUUCUUUGCGAGACGCUCUUCCUGCUGACAGCAAAAAUAAAGGUACAACAAGUACCAAGCCUACUGUGCCUAGGUCCACCUCUCAGCCAGGAUGGACCCAGCGCCGUUUACCAUCAAUGGACACCGAAGACUUUGAGACCAUCCCAUCCAGUGCUGAAGAGCUCUCAAAUUCCUCAGACGGAGACGAGGACAGCAGUAACAAAAAUGGUGAGCACAAUCGCUUUCAGGUGCAGCUGACGUACGAGUCACGAGCACCGCAGGAGAUGUCGCUGGAGCCUGGAGAUUUAGUACAGUUCCUAGAAGAGGUUGAGAAUGGCCACUGGUGAGUAAUGGAUAGAGCCUCCUGCUUUUCUGCUGCUUGUCCCCCCCACUGAGCUAGCCUCACACACACAUAUAUAUAUACACACACCCACUCAUACAAACUGCAUUCCAGAUAGAGCUCCAAUAAACCUUUCAUACGACCCAUUUUAAUAUUUGAGAUUUAUCACUGAUGCAUCUCUCAUUAACCUUUAUUCAUUAUGCAGAGGUAAUGUUGUAAGAAACAGAAGCUAUUACAGCUGCAGCAUUGCUGCAUUUCUAUUAAAGUGUAGUACUGAAUUAAAAGUUAAUUCAAAGCGAGCUCAACAAAAGGCGCAUCAACCAUACUGAGUGUUUUUUCGGAUGAAUGUGCACAUUACAAUGCCAAUGAAAAUGCAGGACUGAAAUGAGCAAUAGAUUCCAUUGUCUAAAUCUAAAUAAAGAGCAGUUAUUCUGGAUAUCACGUGCAAAACCAUUGCAUCCGAUGAAUGAGGGUCUUUUUAAGUCUCGCGUGAGUAUGCGCACUACAUUUUAGGGUGACUAAUACCCUAUGAAAUUAAAGUGACGCUAAGAAAAUGCACCGCGUAUGCUCAUAUUUCAUCAGCUCAUGCAUAAUUCAUCUUUCAAACUAUCUUCAAUCAUUUCAGUAUCUUCUUCUUCAGCACUCAUGUGUCUCGCACCCUCUCCAUCCCAAACAGUUAGAACGAAUUUGCUCUCCUUUCGUCGAGCUUAGUCAACACAUAGCACUUUGAAAUCUUCUAUAAGUUUAGGAGAAGUUUAUGUGCCUGUGUUUUCGCACAUUGAUUUGCAGAGCUCUUCAGAUUUGGCACAUUUCUCUCAGAUGUGCGUGCAUCUGCCCAUGGCGAGAGUGUGACUGUGAGUGUGUGUGUGUGAGAGAGAGAGAUAGAGAGAGAUAUUCGCACUCACACAUAGACCACAUUUCUGCUCUGCUGCUGACAGCUAAUUUUUUUCCUCCUCAAACUUAAGAUGUAGUUUAAUGCUUCCGUUGCUGAUGAUGUUAACUCUUAUCAUUACAGACAACACCUUUUAGCAAUCUUCACUUAAACAGCCAGAGGGUUUAGAUGCAAGAUAGAUAGAGAUGCAAGAAGAUGUUUAGAUACAUUAGCCCAGUAUCAGCUAGUCAAGAACCUAAUUACUCUGAAGACAGGGCUGGUUCCACCCAGUAUCCUGCAGUCUACAGCAGGAGGAGUGGACAUUUACAGUAACACUGGUAUUUAAUCUAACCCACCGGGGGAAAAGGAAGAGAGGGGUGGAAGUCACAUUUGGAUUACCGUUGCUGUUGAAGCUUCUUUCACACCAGUGCUCGCUAUGAAGCAUCCUCACAACAACAUAACGAACAGCUAUAAUGUUAGAAUGCAGGGCCAGUGUGCUUUUGACCUUGGAUGUUACUUCCAUCCCUCUUUUGCUCAGACACGGUGAACAAAGUGAGCACCCGCAAGGCAUCAGAUCAAAGUGGCUGGGGAUGUUGAAAUGGGUUGUUGAAUGCGGAGUAUGGCACUGGAGCUGCUUUGCAUUGCCGGAUUUGCAUAUUUCUUUUGGAAAAAGGGAAGGAAACCAAGUAGAGCAUGAUGUCAGCCCCUGAGGCAUGCGCUCCUUUCCAUGAUGCCUGGCCUUGCUGUGUUCACAGUCUUGCUCUCCUCAUUUGCUUGAAACCCCGCCCUUGUCAUAACAAGCUGCUUAAAGGAUACUGGAUUAUGUCUUAAAAGCUUCUUGCUGGCCUUUCAGUUUGGAAUGGGGUGUUGUUGUUUUUUUUGGAUAUUGAGCCUUUUACCCCUGUCUUUUAUAUCUAAGCAAUCCCUCCCUAAUUAUAUAAGUUUCUUAUAGCAUUCAAUAAUAUCAUACGAUGUUGUUUGGCUAAUAUUAUUAUUUGCUUUAUAGCACCUGCAAGGCCUUGUCUUGUACCCUUGUAACCCUCCUUCCUACUUCCUGUUGAUUUGCAUUGACAAUCUCACACACUAUUAAACCACUUAUUUCCAUCCUCUCCUUUCAGACAUCUUCAGUGACCUGUGUACGGCGGCCCUCACAGACACAGAGGAAGCAGAGGAGAGCACUGGGCUGCCACCAGUCCAGGAGAACAGAUUUGCAUGUUGAACAUGUCUUUUUUUUUCUUUUUUUUUUUUUCUUCUGCCUCAUUAUAGUGCCAUGCAUUGACGAACCACGCAGGAUCCCGCCCUGCUAAACCUUCGCGUUACUGUAAAAUGAAGACAAUCUAUUGCUGCUAUUCCCACUUGUGCCAUGUUGAAAAGAGAGUGUGCAAAGCACUGGAGCUUGGAUUUUUUGGCCUUUGGACUCUGAACUUUGCUGUCACGGCUAGCUAUGAUUUAGCUGUGCCUUAGCAGCUAAUCAAUGCUUUGACAUGUUCUAAGAGGAAAACUGGAAUCCAGUGUGUUUCAAAGCAGUGUUUCAGCAUUGAGUCACGUGCUGCUUGUUUUUAGAAACAGGCCUGAUCAUGUCAUGAUGCUGUGUGAAAGUGAGUGAGUGAGAGAGAAAAAGACUCUAAAUUAUCCUGUCCUGCUGAAAUUACCACUCUGAAUUUUCUUAUAGCCUGGAUCAAUUUUGUUUAUCAAAGACAUUCAGAUGGAACAGAAGUCAUCUCAGCAAAAUUACCUUUUUUUGAUUCUGUUGGUCAAAAAUGCAGCAAUUUAGAGUAAAAAUAGCAAUCUAUGAUGUGUAUGUGUAUUAUAGAAGAUUUCUGUACUCUUUUGUAUUUGAUGUCUUAUUUGUUCUGUAAAUGCUCUUCAAACAUUCAUUUCCGGUUCCACAAAUGUCUCUCUUGGGGAUGUUUAGCCUCUAAGCAAUUUUAUCAGUCAUCUGAUAUUUUAUUGUAGCACAAAUAUUCCAACUGUACUGUAAGAACAAAUAGUAUUGCUAUAUAUGAACUUUAUACCUUUUUUUAUUCAAACAAAUUCAGUUUCUUGUCAAGAAAUCAAAUCAAAGACAAAUCACUCUCUGCAGUAUAUCAGAUGUGGCCUUCAUAUUUUAAAACGGCAGAACGUUUUGGAGAAUGCAAUGACACCUUGUUACUGAAAGUAUAAUAGUCUCACAGCAAGAAAUAUUUCACAAAAUAAGAAAGGUCGUUCCAUUAUGACAUCCCUGUUGAAUGUAAAAAAAAAAUUGAAACGUGUCUUAUUGAUUUUUAAAGUGGAGGCUGUAAACAUUUUCCAAGACUGACCACACAUCUGUAUAUAUCCUAAUCUGAUUGAAUCGUUUACUGACGAUGAGUCUAAGCACAAAAACGAAUUGUGGAAUGCAAAGUUUAUUGCUGAUGAUUAUAAUACACUGUUAUUUAUUAAGAGAAGCUGAUGCUUUUAACUGGUUCAUAUGGUCAGUGUAUUACCGUCUACAUUUUCAAACAUAUGAUUAAAUACAUACAAAGUAAAA